rnacentral:rRNA from 1 species
AACGAACGCUGGCGGCAGGCCUAACACAUGCAAGUCGAGCGGGGAGUUCGGGCCUAGCGGCGGACGGGGGGGGAACGCGUGGGAACGUGCCCUUUGCUUCCGUAUAGCUCUGGGAAACUUGGCGUAAUACAGGAUGAGCCCAUAGGGGGUAGGAUCUCUCGGCGAAGGAUCGGCGCGCGUUGGAUUCGGUAGUUGGUGGGGUAAUGGCCUACCAAGCGGAUGAUGCUUGGCUGGUGUGUGAGGAGGAUCAGCCACGCUUGGACUGCGACACGGCCCAGACUCCGACGGGGGGGAGCAGAGGGGAAUCUUAGACAAGGGGGGAAACUGUGAUAUCGCCAUGCCGGGGGAGCGGUGCAGGCGUUAGGGUUGUAAAGCUGUUUCAGCCGGGACGAUAAUGACGGUACCAGCAGAAGAAGCCCCGGCUAACUCCGUG